GAUGAACGCUAGCGGCAGGCUUAAUACAUGCAAGUCAAGGGGGUAGCAAUACUACCGGCGCACGGGUGAGUAACACGUACAUAACAUACCAUAUACUGGGGUAUAGCUUUGGGAAACUGAAGGUAAUCCCCCAUAACAUUGCGAGAGGGCAUCUGAUUGCAAUUAAAGUUUCGACGGUAUAUGAUUGAUGUGCGUUUGAUUAGCUUGUUGGUAGGGUAACGGCCUACCAAGGCGACGAUCAAUAGCUGGCGUGAGAGCGCGACCAGCCACACUGGAACUGAGACACGGUCCAGACUCCUACGGGAGGCAGCAGUAGGGAAUAUUGGACAAUGGGCGAAAGCCUGAUCCAGCCAUGCCGCGUGAUAGAUGAAGGCCCUCUGGGUUGUAAAUAUCUUUUAUCUGGGAAGAAACAAUCUUAUUCUUAAGAUCUUGACGGUACCAGAGGAAUAAGCACCGGCUAACUCCGUGCCAGCAGCCGCGGUAAAGU
rnacentral:rRNA from 1 species